GUGUGCGUAAUUUAAAAAADAUACCAAGUUGUGACCUUGAAAAUAGACCUCCCUCGCACACCG
rnacentral:tRNA from 1 species